CUAGAAUAUUGUUUUGUCCUGGGCACUCACAUGAUUAAGGAAGAAAUUGGUUAUUCCUGGAUGUGCUAUGCAGAUCAAAGAUUUUGCAGGUUAUUUAGCCAUUCCCGUGCUUCCAAAGGAACUCAUGACCCCUCUUAUAACUCUGCCCCGCAAUAUUUAGGUGUUACAAAAAUAGUUUGACCAUUUUGCCUCAUAAUGAGAGUUCUUUUACUAUUUUGGAGAUUGGUGCAUUCUUUCUGCAGUUUAACACCUGCAUUGCAAAUAAUCUUGCCAGAGAACUAUGUUGGGCACACAACUGCGUCUCCAACCCAUCCGAUGGAGAGGCACAAAUUCAUGGAUUGGCCAAUGAGAUAUGUAGAUUGAGACAAUAUGACGCUUCAGAUAAAUGAUGUGCAUAAUUUGGACCAAUGGCAUGAAAACAGAAAUCCAGCCUCCUUUUUUUGUGCGGAAAUGGGCCCCUACGGUAAAUGAAGCUACACUAGAUCCACUAUACUUCAGCUAUUUUGCCAAUUCUUGAGGCUUCAUUGGUAGUGUAGAUUCAAGGAAAAUUUAUAAAAUUUAUGCAUUCUUCCUUCACUUUUUUGUAUUUACAUGUUUUGUGCUGUUGAGCUAACUCAGUUGCAGAUAACAAGUGUGCUCUGUAUUCAGUUUAGCUAACAUUUUUUUUGCUACUGUUAAAACAUAUACUGCUUUUUAAAGGAAACAUAACUAUUGUUUUAUUUUAUUAACCCUAUAUAUAUGACAAAUUCCUUCUAAUUUGUUGUUCUUAACCGCUGAAGGAGCCUUUCAGUGGUACGUGCACACGGUUUUCAUAUGUAUAACUGUAAUGAACAUACAACACUGAGAAACUUUUAUUUGUGAGUUGCAUGACCACGGUGUUAGAAUCCUUACCAUUUAUAACUUUUGUAUACAUGAACAUAUAAACACUCACUACAAUAAUUUCCCUGUUCGUGAGGUGUAAUUUUUAAGACUAGCGGCCGUGGGGAAAUCCUUAUCAAUGUUCUUUUAUGUCUUAUCUGGUUAGCAUAGUGUUAGUUGAGAAAUGAUAAGAGCAAUACUUUCUGUUGAAUUGCUGGGAUAAAUAUGCUUUUUUUUAAUUAACAGCUUGAGAAGUUCAUAAUGCUAAUUCAACUGAGGUUGAUUGGGAACAUCCCUUCUAUUUGAAUUUAACACGUCUUAUACUGUCACAGUGGCAUUGUGCAAGUAUGAUUUUGUGGCACUACCACUGAGAUCUUACAAGCUUUGUAUGCUCUGAACAAUUGGCUAUAACUGCAUAAGAAUAACUAGAAACCUUUUUUGGUGAUCUAUUGAGGCGUCAUGGCUGGUGUGUGAGACACUAGAGUAGAGACAUAUCCAGGAGGCGCCACCGUAUGGAAGAGUCGUAAUAACAGUGGCGCAGAGCGCGUGUUUGUUCAGCAUGGAUGUGGCCAUGUGUUCAUUUGUAGCCUGAUAGCUUUAUAAGAAAAUUUACAUCACUUAUUCGGUUUUAGGUUUUCACUCAGACAUACAUUGGUUAGUGAUGUUAAUCCAUACAUAGUCCUAUAUGUGGCUUGAUGUUACCGUAUCUUUCAUUCAAGAUCUUGUGAACCCAGAGCGAUGAAAAUCCACCGUACGACCCAGAGAUGAGGACCUCACUUGAUGAUGAACAGACCUUCGACAGCGAAGGAUACUGCUCUGAUGAUUUCCGUUUCCUACCUGAAGAUCACUUCUAACAGCCAUGCAAGAACCAUCAGAUCGCUGCUAUCAUCAUUAGAGCCAGUCGUUGCUCCCUACUAAUAUAGUUAUCUAUAGCCAUAUGUAACAUAUAUCCUAUCGCACGAUGGCACAGUCGGUUCUUCCGAAUCUAUCUGCUAAGCCUUAAUGAUCUGUAUGUACAUGUGAACCUAAUGAUGUACUAUGUCCUAUCGAACCAUGUCACUCUCGGUUAUGCCAGAUCUACUGCUGGAACUUCGUGCUUUGUUUAUUUGUUUGCUACGCUCUGCUGUGUUUAAAUCAUAUGUCUGAUUGCAUUCUUAUGCUUCCAAGUUUAUCUCAGCAUUAUGCCAUGUUUUUAUAGUUUUAGUUACGUAAGUAUGUGUGCUCACGGAAUAAUUUUAACCUAUGGUUUAUUUCCAUGCCACUCAAAUUUUAUUUAGCCCUGGCCUGCAAGCACCGUCGUCUUGAUGGAUGAUGAUGAUUUAAUAGUCAAGGGGCUUCCACAGCUCUCUGCCAUUUGUGUUACCAUUAGCAGAAGGUACAUGGUUGAAGAAGCUAUUAAGCGGAUCCAUGGUACAAUUCAUGCAUUCGAGCUCACCGAUGAUAAUGACGACACAGUAAUGGCAUCAGUGAAAAUUGAUCUCCAGCCCCACAGCCAAAGCAUGUUGCCAACCCAACAGCUGUUCUUUGGAGAAUCAACUCGGUUUGCCAACGAUGCUAUCAAAUCAACAUGUUCUGCUGCUUUGGCCUAUCUGGUAACCAUGGGCAUCAUCACAAUAGACAAUUCCAACUCGACAAGCCUCAAGAAAUGCCAAAGGGAGCUCAAAGCUGAGCAGUUCUGGUCAUCAGUGCUAUUUGAGCGGGCAGAAUCCUUUCAAAAACAGCUCGCCU